rnacentral:rRNA from 1 species
GAUGAACGCUGGCGGCGUGCCUAAUACAUGCAAGUCGAACGAAACUUCUUUAUCACCGAGUGCUUGCACUCACCGAUAAAGAGUUGAGUGGCGAACGGGUGAGUAACACGUGGGCAACCUGCCCAAAAGAGGGGGAUAACACUUGGAAACAGGUGCUAAUACCACAUAACCAUAGUUACCGCAUGGUAACUAUGUAAAAGGUGGCUAUGCUACCGCUUUUGGAUGGGCCCGCGGCGCAUUAGCUAGUUGGUGGGGUAAAGGCUUACCAAGGCAAUGAUGCGUAGCCGAACUGAGAGGUUGAUCGGCCACAUUGGGACUGAGACACGGCCCAAACUCCUACGGGAGGCAGCAGUAGGGAAUCUUCCACAAUGGGCGAAAGCCUGAUGGAGCAACGCCGCGUGGGUGAAGAAGGUCUUCGGAUCGUAAAACCCUGUUGUUAGAGAAGAAAGUGCGUGAGAGUAACUGUUCACGUUUCGACGGUAUCUAACCAGAAAGCCACGGCUAACUACGUGCCAGCAGUCGCGGUAAUACGUAGGUGGCAAGCGUUAUCCGGAUUUAUUGGGCGUAAAGGGAACGCAGGCGGUCUUUUAAGUCUGAUGUGAAAGCCUUCGGCUUAACCGGAGUAGUGCAUUGGAAACUGGGAGACUUGAGUGCAGAAGAGGAGAGUGGAACUCCAUGUGUAGCGGUGAAAUGCGUAGAUAUAUGGAAGAACACCAGUGGCGAAAGCGGCUCUCUGGUCUGUAACUGACGCUGAGGUUCGAAAGCGUGGGUAGCAAACAGAAGGAGAUACCCUGGUAGUCCACGCCGUAAACGAUGAAUGCUUAGUGUUGGAGGGUUUCCCCCCCUUCAGUGUAGCAGCUAACGCAAUAAGCAUUCCGCCUGGGGAGUACGACCGCAAGGUUGAAACUCAAAGGAAUUGACGGGGGCCCGCACAAGCGGUGGAGCAUGUGGUUUAAUUCGAAGCAACGCGAAGAACCUUACCAGGUCUUGACAUCUUUUGACAAUCCUAGAGAUAGGACUUUCCCUUCGGGGACAAAAUGACAGGUGGUGCAUGGUUGUCGUCAGCUCGUGUCGUGAGAUGUUGGGUUAAGUCCCGCAACGAGCGCAACCCUUAUUGUUAGUUGCCAGCAUUAAGUUGGGCACUCUAGCAAGACUGCCGGUGACAAACCGGAGGAAGGUGGGGAUGACGUCAAAUCAUCAUGCCCCUUAUGACCUGGGCUACACACGUGCUACAAUGGACGGUACAACGAGUCGCAAGACCGCGAGGUUUAGCAAAUCUCUUAAAGCCGUUCUCAGUUCGGAUUGUAGGCUGCAACACGCCUACAUGAAGUCGGAAUCGCUAGUAAUCGCGGAUCAGCAUGCCGCGGUGAAUACGUUCCCGGGCAUUGUACACACCGCCCGUCACACCAUGAGAGUUUGUAACACCCAAAGCCGGUGGGGUAACCUU